rnacentral:rRNA from 1 species
UACGUAGGCAGCAAGCGUUGUUCGGAAUUACUGGGCGUAAAGAGUGUGUAGGCGGUGCUCUAAGUUUGGUGUGAAAUCUCCCGGCUCAACUGGGAGGGUGCGCCGAAAACUGGAAUGCUUGAACAUGGGAGAGGAAAGCGGAAUUCCUGGUGUAGCGGUGAAAUGCGUAGAUAUCAGGAGGAACACCUGCGGUGUAGACGGCUUUCUGGACCAUUGUUGACGCUGAGACACGAAAGCGUGGGUAGCAAACAGA